UUGUUGUAUCUAAGUAUUUUCAUUUUCUUUAAAAGUAGUUUAGUAAUGAAGUAAAUUUACAACUGUCAACUGACAUGAUUCAGGUAUGUUUACUCAAUCGCAGUUCGAAACAGGCCCAAAUUCCUCUUCCAUCACUAACAUUUUCCACCAUUGUUGCAACUCAAAGAAUCUCAGAGCCAUUAAAGUAUUUCAAGCACAUCUAAUUAGAACUGGGUUAAUCUUCAUCUCCACUAAUUUUCAGUUCAAACUUGCAACUUCACUUCCCAACAACAACAAAAACAACCAUGUACAGAACUUCACCAACUUCUUCAAAUUCCUCAAACCCACAAACCCUUUGCUCUUAAAUUCAAUUCUUUCCCAUUUUUCCCAAAAUGGGUUUCAUUCUCUUGCUCUUCGUACAUUCUCUUUCAUGCAUUUUGGUGGUAUUGGCAUUGAUUCAUACACGUUGUGUAGCUCCAUUACAGCUUCAUCUGCUGUGAAAGAUGUGAAAUUUGGGCGAAUGAUUCAUACCCUUGUGCGGAAAUCGGGUUGGUUUUCUAGUGUUUAUGUGGGGUCUGCUUUAGUGGAUUUGUAUGCGAAGUCGUUGUGUAUCAAGAAUGCAGCUAAGCUGUUCGAUGAAAUUCCUUUGAAGAAUACAGUUUGCGUGAAUGUAAUUCUUUCAGGUUAUGCUGAAGCUAAGAUGUGGAUGGAGGGAAUGGCAUUGGUUAGGAAGAUGCCAUGUUUAAAUUUAUGUUUGGAUGAUUUCACUUUUUCAGCUGCUUUGCGUGCUUGUGUUGGGCUCUCUGCAUUUGAAUUGGGAAAGCAGAUUCAUGGAUGUGUAAUUCGAAAAGUUCAUGACAUGGAAUCCAAUGAGUUCCUGCAAAGCUUGUUGAUUGAUAUGUAUGGCAAAUGUGGGUCAGUGGAGAAGGCUAGGCAUGUAUUCGAUAUGGUUGGCUUUAGAUAUGGAGAAAGAAAGAGGGAUGUUGUUCUGUGGACAUCAAUGCUCAGUGUUUGCGGAAGGAAUGGGAAAUUUGAAGAAGCGAUUAAUCUGUUUGAUGACAUGGUAAUGGAAGGAAUCAAACCAGAUGGUGUAGCAUUAUUGACUGUUCUCUCCGCUUGUAGUCACACUGGCCAUGUAAAUCUUGGAAUGCAGUACUUCGAAUCAAUGACAUCUAAUUACAGUUUGGAACCCAGUCCUGAGCACUAUAGUUGUGUGAUUGAUUUACUGUGUCGUGCAGGUGAGUUGGAUAGAGCAUGGAGCUUAAUCAACGACUUAUCUUACAAAGAGAAUGAUAAUUUCACUGUUACCAUGUGGGGGGCCUUGCUUAGUGCGUGCCAUAACUUUGACAAUGUCGAACUAGGUAAAUUAGCUGCUCAAAGGGCACUAGAGUUAGACCCUCAAAAUGACGGGGUUUAUGUUCUGCUAUCUAACAUGUAUGCGAGGAAUGGUAUGUGGAAUGAAAUUGAGAUGUUGAGGGAACGGAUAAAAGAGAAGGGAUUAAAGAAAGACAUAGGACAUAGUUUGGUAGAUAUCACUAGAUGAGAUAAAGGCAAUAGUAGAAAAAUAAGCUACGUUCUUCUUCUCAUGGAUUCAUUUAGUUAAAAGAAAUGGUUUAUGAGGUGUGGCACAAACUGUGAGGGUCCUUGUUGAUUUCCAUUUUGUAUGAUACAUAUCUAAAAUGAUUAGAGUAUACUGUAAGUGCAGUUAUGAUGUUCAAGAUGGCUUCUUUAUGAUUUGGUGCAUACUGUAAGCACAGUUAUGAUGUCCAAGGGGGCUCAUACAUGGGAGUGAUGCUACAAGUUUGCAGCUCAAGUUAGAUUGUUGAAAGACCAUGCAUCAUUGUAGACUUGUUUCUUGAAUGUGCAGCGGCAGAGCAAUUAGGGCAGUAGAAUGCUGAGGAAACCAAGGAAACCUUUUCAAAUCCAAAUAUUCCAGGACAAGGAAACCAAAAAUAUUGAUCAAAUUGACAUUAAGCUAAACAAGGAACUUCUACGGCAGAAGAGUGCCUCUUCCAUCUCAAGAAAGAGCUACCUAAGAGAAAUCUCAGUUUUCAUUGAAGCUCUUAAUUUUUCUGUUGGACUUGAGGUGGGAUGAACCAAAUUCUUAUAUGUGAAGUGACAAUGGAGAGAGAGGGCUGGGACAUGACUUUGAAAUGCUUGGGCUUAAUGAGCAAUGUAAGGAGAGUUCUACUGGCAGUGAAACAUGAUGGCAGAGAGAUAGGAGGAAUAAUAGGAGAUAAAAGAAGAAACUCUGGCAAUCCAAUGUAACAUCUGUUGGACACGAUAGUAACUAGUGCUGCUUGAAGCACACCAAGAUAACAAGAACUAACUCAUCUGGAAGAGUAACCAUAAUCCUUUGAAUCAAAAUGAAAUGGGUCCUAACAGCAGAUCCAUUGACUAAUAAUGGACAGAUGAGCUAUAUGAAAGGAAGACAAAAUCAUAUACUAAAUAUGCUUGCUGCCUCAGGUGAAGGAUGAAUUUAUUGUUUGUUUUUGUCAUCAUUGUGCAUUGAUAUUAAUUUUGCUAAAUUGUGGAGGACUGAAGUAUUGCAAUAGUCGUUGGAAGUUAGAGAACUUUCAGAACAAUAAUAAUAGCGAAGUUGUGGAACCUGAUAGUUAUGUAUGUGUAAGGUGAUCCUCAUGGUUCAGCUGGACAUGUUCGACUUUCAUGGUAUAACAAGAAAUAAGCUGGGUUGGAUCGUCUAAGGCAUGUAUGGAGAUAGAAUAUGAGCUUUGCUGUUCAAAGAUAUCCAGAUAUCUCCAAGUGUACCACCAUUAACAACUAAUGCAUAAUUCAUCCAAAUUAAAAUUGUAGCUCAACAGUUUUUCACUGUGAAAUUCUUUUAUCAAUUUAUUGUAAUAAAGAGAAGAUAUGGUUUGAUGGUUUAUUCAGUGCUGGAGUUGCAAUUUCAUAUUGCAAGAUUCAGAAGGUAGUUGAGCAUCAUAGAUGGACAGCAUCUACAUUUUAUACCUGCCUCUAGUUCUGAGUUUAUUAUAACUAGAUGUAAAGUAAUUGUCUUAUUCUGCUGAGCUUUGAUGUAAAAUUUCUUUUUCAUUUUUA